ensembl:lncRNA
CUAGUAACAGCCGUCUCCCAAGCUCACUUGGCCUGAGACGGUCAACAGCGAACAUGCUGAGCUGCUUCUCCACUUCGAGAGGCCGUAGCCUCAGGACCCCAGGUAGAGAAAGUAUCUGUGAAAGACUAAGAAGAGGCUGGCUCCAUCCAGACACCGCAUGACUGUCCCAGAAACCCCAGGGACGGUCUCCCUGGGAGUGACCACCAGUGACCUACCAAAAUCAAGAUUUGAUUUGACUGGAACUUGGAAUCACUUGGAAAUUGUGGGUGAGAAGAAGAAAGACCAAUGAAGAAGGAACCAUCCAGGCCAGGAUAGAGGUCAAAGAGGAGAAAAGUGACAGAAAGAAAGUCACCAAUUUUCCCUUGACUUUGGACAGCUCUGCUUCCCUCUGAUGAAGCCCAGUUGUGCAAUUUUCUUUCCCUCAAUUAAAGGGAAAAAAUACAGAGUACUGAAAGGCCAA